UUAAGCGACUAAGCGUACACGGUGGAUGCCCUGGCAGUCAGAGGCGAUGAAGGACGUGCUAAUCUGCGAUAAGCGUCGGUAAGGUGAUAUGAACCGUUAUAACCGGCGAUUUCCGAAUGGGGAAACCCAGUGUGAUUCGUCACACUAUCAUUAACUGAAUCCAUAGGUUAAUGAGGCGAACCGGGGGAACUGAAACAUCUAAGUACCCCGAGGAAAAGAAAUCAACCGAGAUUCCCCCAGUAGCGGCGAGCGAACGGGGAGGAGCCCAGAGCCUGAAUCAGUGUGUGUGUUAGUGGAAGCGUCUGGAAAGGCGCGCGAUACAGGGUGACAGCCCCGUACACAAAAAUGCACAUACUGUGAGCUCGAUGAGUAGGGCGGGACACGUGGUAUCCUGUCUGAAUAUGGGGGGACCAUCCUCCAAGGCUAAAUACUCCUGACUGACCGAUAGUGAACCAGUACCGUGAGGGAAAGGCGAAAAGAACCCCGGCGAGGGGAGUGAAAAAGAACCUGAAACCGUGUACGUACAAGCAGUGGGAGCCUCUUAAUGGGGUGACUGCGUACCUUUUGUAUAAUGGGUCAGCGACUUAUAUUCUGUAGCAAGGUUAACCGAAUAGGGGAGCCGAAGGGAAACCGAGUCUUAACUGGGCGUUAAGUUGCAGGGUAUAGACCCGAAACCCGGUGAUCUAGCCAUGGGCAGGUUGAAGGUUGGGUAACACUAACUGGAGGACCGAACCGACUAAUGUUGAAAAAUUAGCGGAUGACUUGUGGCUGGGGGGGAAAGGCCAAUCAAACCGGGAGAUAGCUGGUUCUCCCCGAAAGCUAUUUAGGUAGCGCCUCGUGAAUUCAUCUCCGGGGGUAGAGCACUGUUUCGGCAAGGGGGUCAUCCCGACUUACCAACCCGAUGCAAACUGCGAAUACCGGAGAAUGUUAUCACGGGAGACACACGGCGGGUGCUAACGUCCGUCGUGAAGAGGGAAACAACCCAGACCGCCAGCUAAGGUCCCAAAGUCAUGGUUAAGUGGGAAACGAUGUGGGAAGGCCCAGACAGCCAGGAUGUUGGCUUAGAAGCAGCCAUCAUUUAAAGAAAGCGUAAUAGCUCACUGGUCGAGUCGGCCUGCGCGGAAGAUGUAACGGGGCUAAACCAUGCACCGAAGCUGCGGCAGCGACGCUUAUGCGUUGUUGGGUAGGGGAGCGUUCUGUAAGCCUGUGAAGGUGGCCUGUGAGGGUUGCUGGAGGUAUCAGAAGUGCGAAUGCUGACAUAAGUAACGAUAAAGCGGGUGAAAAGCCCGCUCGCCGGAAGACCAAGGGUUCCUGUCCAACGUUAAUCGGGGCAGGGUGAGUCGACCCCUAAGGCGAGGCCGAAAGGCGUAGUCGAUGGGAAACAGGUUAAUAUUCCUGUACUUGGUGUUACUGCGAAGGGGGGACGGAGAAGGCUAUGUUGGCCGGGCGACGGUUGUCCCGGUUUAAGCGUGUAGGCUGGUUUUCCAGGCAAAUCCGGAAAAUCAAGGCUGAGGCGUGAUGACGAGGCACUACGGUGCUGAAGCGACAAAUGCCCUGCUUCCAGGAAAAGCCUCUAAGCAUCAGGUAACAUUAAAUCGUACCCCAAACCGACACAGGUGGUCAGGUAGAGAAUACCAAGGCGCUUGAGAGAACUCGGGUGAAGGAACUAGGCAAAAUGGUGCCGUAACUUCGGGAGAAGGCACGCUGAUAUGUAGGUGAAGCGACUUGCUCGUGGAGCUGAAAUCAGUCGAAGAUACCAGCUGGCUGCAACUGUUUAUUAAAAACACAGCACUGUGCAAACACGAAAGUGGACGUAUACGGUGUGACGCCUGCCCGGUGCCGGAAGGUUAAUUGAUGGGGUUAGCGGUAACGCGAAGCUCUUGAUCGAAGCCCCGGUAAACGGCGGCCGUAACUAUAACGGUCCUAAGGUAGCGAAAUUCCUUGUCGGGUAAGUUCCGACCUGCACGAAUGGCGUAAUGAUGGCCAGGCUGUCUCCACCCGAGACUCAGUGAAAUUGAACUCGCUGUGAAGAUGCAGUGUACCCGCGGCAAGACGGAAAGACCCCGUGAACCUUUACUAUAGCUUGACACUGAAUAUUGAGCCUUGAUGUGUAGGAUAGGUGGGAGGCUUUGAAGUGUGGACGCCAGUCUGCAUGGAGCCGACCUUGAAAUACCACCCUUUAAUGUUUGAUGUUCUAACGUGGGCCCCUUACCGGGGUUGCGGACAGUGUCUGGUGGGUAGUUUGACUGGGGCGGUCUCCUCCUAAAGAGUAACGGAGGAGCACGAAGGUUGGCUAAUCCUGGUCGGACAUCAGGAGGUUAGUGCAAUGGCAUAAGCCAGCUUGACUGCGAGCGUGACGGCGCGAGCAGGUGCGAAAGCAGGUCAUAGUGAUCCGGUGGUUCUGAAUGGAAGGGCCAUCGCUCAACGGAUAAAAGGUACUCCGGGGAUAACAGGCUGAUACCGCCCAAGAGUUCAUAUCGACGGCGGUGUUUGGCACCUCGAUGUCGGCUCAUCACAUCCUGGGGCUGAAGUAGGUCCCAAGGGUAUGGCUGUUCGCCAUUUAAAGUGGUACGCGAGCUGGGUUUAGAACGUCGUGAGACAGUUCGGUCCCUAUCUGCCGUGGGCGCUGGAGAACUGAGGGGGGCUGCUCCUAGUACGAGAGGACCGGAGUGGACGCAUCACUGGUGUUCGGGUUGUCAUGCCAAUGGCACUGCCCGGUAGCUAAAUGCGGAAGAGAUAAGUGCUGAAAGCAUCUAAGCACGAAACUUGCCCCGAGAUGAGUUCUCCCUGACUCCUUGAGAGUCCUGAAGGAACGUUGAAGACGACGACGUUGAUAGGCCGGGUGUGUAAGCGCAGCGAUGCGUUGAGCUAACCGGUACUAAUGAACCGUGAGGCUUAACCUU
rnacentral:rRNA from 2 species